rnacentral:tRNA from 1 species
CGAGAUAUAAUGUAGUUUGGUUAGCGUAUCCAUUUUGGGAAUGGAAUUUCAUAGGUUCAAAUCCUAUUAUCUCGA